rnacentral:rRNA from 1 species
UGAGGAAUAUUGGUCAAUGGACGCAAGUCUGAACCAGCCACGUAGCGUGCAGGAUGACGGCACUAUGGGUUGUAAACUGUUUUUAUUUGGGGAUAAAGUGGGGAACGUGUUCCCUUUUGCAGGUACCAUAUGAAUAAGGACCGGCUAAUUUCGUGCCAGCAGCCGCGGUAAUACGGAAGGUUUGGGCGUUAUCCGGAUUUAUUGGGUUUAAAGGGAGCGUAGGCCGUUUGGUAAGCGUGUUGUGAAAUGUAGGAGCUCAACUUCUAGAUUGCAGCGCGAACUGUCAGACUUGAGUGCGCACAACGUAGGCGGAAUUCAUGGUGUAGCGGUGAAAUGCUUAGAUAUCAUGAAGAACUCCGAUUGCGAAGGCAGCUUACGGGAGCGCAACUGACGCUGAAGCUCGAAGGUGCGGGUAUCGAACAGG